UACGAAGGGGGCUAGCGUUGUUCGGAUUUACUGGGCGUAAAGCGCACGUAGGCGGGUCGUUAAGUCAGGGGUGAAAUCCCGGAGCUCAACUCCGGAACUGCCUUUGAUACUGGCGACCUUGAGGCUGGAAGAGGUUAGUGGAAUUCCCAGUGUAGAGGUGAAAUUCGUAGAUAUUGGGAAGAACACCAGUGGCGAAGGCGGCUAACUGGUCCAGAUCCGACGCUGAGGUGCGAAAGCGUGGGGAGCAGACAGG
rnacentral:rRNA from 1 species